rnacentral:rRNA from 1 species
UACGGAGGGAGCUAGCGUUGUUCGGAAUUACUGGGCGUAAAGCGCACGUAGGCGGCUUUGUAAGUUAGAGGUGAAAGCCCGGAGCUCAACUCCGGAACUGCCUUUAAGACUGCAUCGCUUGAAUCAGGAGAGGUGAGUGGAAUUCCGAGUGUAGAGGUGAAAUUCGUAGAUAUUCGGAAGAACACCAGUGGCGAAGGCGGCUCACUGGACUGGUAUUGACGCUGAGGUGCGAAAAGCGUGGGGAGCA